GGCGCUCGCGUUUACGUAAUAUACACUAUUGACUUACAAGUACGUCAUCUGCCAAAUUAUAUACGGCGCUCGCGUUUCCGUAAUAUACACUAUUGACUUACAAGUACGUCAUCUGCCAAAUUAUAUACGGCGCUCGCGUUUCCGUAAUAUACACUGUUGACUUACAAGUACGUCAUCUGCCAAAUUAUAUACAGCGCUCGCAUUUACAUAAUAUACACUAUUGACUUACAAGUACGUCAUCUUCCAACAAAAAUCAAAGCCUUAAUCUCAGACAGUCUUUGGUUUGAAUUGAUAUUUAAGAAGCCAAUCAGAUGUCUUUAAAUUGAUAUCCAACAUGUAUCAUAUCUUCAUGUGCUAAUAUCUUACAUUGUUGCCUAAAACAUUUACGCAGAGGUACGCUUGGUGAUUACUGUAAAGAAUUCAUAUUUGUUUAGUGCAUUUGGCACUGUUCUUUUGCCAUUCUUCGUCAUUAUUGUUAGGUCUAUAACCCUUCGGACUACUGAACCUUCGGAUCAUUGAACCUUCGGACUGUUGAACCUUCGGACUAUAGAGAUGUAACCCCUCCAGCCUUUAGAAGAGAAAUACUCCACGAUGAGGAAGAUUUGUUUGUUGCAGCAGUAUCUUUUACUUCUAAUACUCGGCUGUUCAAUGAAUUAUUGUGCUUGUAUUCUUUCAAAGGACAGAACUAUACCAGUAAUUGGUCAGCCACUGACUCUAACAUACAACAAUAAUGAGAUAACAGACAUUACAGAUACAGUUCGUUUCUUUGUGAAUACAUCUAUAGAGGGAGUAUGUUUGAAGAACCACGGAACGUGUGGCUCUGGAACAGGGAAUAAUGUCAUGAGAAUCUCGUCAAAUGUAAUCGGACUUGAAAUACAUUCAUUUAAUGCAACACGGCAUGCUGGUGCUUGGAGAGUACAGGAAGGAUUCAGUAGCACCAGUGUAUUUUCAAAUUAUUUGAAUUUAACACCUCCAUU